rnacentral:lncRNA from 1 species
GCCAUCAGGAGGACUGAAACUGUAAACACAAGCUGGUAUUUUGGUGUGAUCACGCUAAUAUGGCGGUUUGUGAGGUCAAGGGGUGGAAGUUACAGGUAGGCAAUAUAUCUUUAACCAAAGUUGUGCUAGAUGGGGUCUUCAAGGUUAUUUGGAUUUUGAUGUACUAAGAAAAUAUCCUCAGUAGAAAAAUACCAGAAAUGGCAUUCCAACUCACCCUACCAAGGACAAGAAGCAGAUCAUUAGGAACAGAUAUAUUGGAGCUUGGCCCUGUAAAAACAUAGGAUAGCUAACAAAUACAUAAAAUUAGUUGUAUGGCCUCAUUUAUUCCUUCAUAGAGAUACAGCUCCUGGCAACCACCAUUCUACUUGAUGCCUCUAUGAAUCUGACUACUCUAGGUACCUCAGAUGAGUGGAAUUAUGCAGUAUUUGUCCUUUUGUGUGUACAACUAAUUUGACAGGCAGUAUGAUAAGGAACAAUCUGAAUGACACGUAAACAGGAGGGGGUAAAUUCCAAGCACAGCCUGAAUGAGAAGUACAACUCAUUUCCUGUAACCUAGAUGCCUUUUUAACACAUCUAUGCAGUCUCCAUGUGAAACCAGGUGCUGUUCCCAAAGGAGAAAACACUGCCCUCCAGUGGUCUUCAAUGAAGAAAUGGAAAUAGUUUCAGGUACCAUGAUAGCAGCAUUUACAUGAAACAUGGUAUAUUUAUCUAGUCUCAUUUUUGGCUGUAUUUCUUAAGCUGAAACACGUCUACAACUGAGCAUAAGGACAAAAUUUCCAAGAUAAAUUCUAAUAGGUGGAAACCAGGCUUCUUGGAAGACUUCAAACUAUGCCAAAUGGUCUGAUUUCACCAUAGAGAAUGUUAUACUAUUAAUUGCCAAUUUGCAUAUGUGUGCAGCUGCUGUUUUGGCUCUGAACUCAAUCCGAUAAGCUUGCUGGAGGUAUCGCAGAGCACUUGGCAGCUUUCCUAUUUGAAAAGAAAGCCUCUCCCCUCUACAGAACAGCUGAUCGUCUAUCAGCGAUAGACCCUGAUGGCGUGAAUUACAAUUACACUACUUUUCACACUAAAUCUGGGUGAUAGCUACUUGGAAAGAAGUUUCAUCAUUUUUUACCACAAACUGGAAAAAGAAUUACAUGGUCAUGCUGUGCUUUUAAAGGCAGUUUGGUUCACUUUUGUCUAUUUAACACCUAAUUCCAAGAAGUCCAUAGGCAUCUAGAGAUCUGAA